rnacentral:lncRNA from 1 species
GUGCAGAGCACCUAGCCAAUAACUACUUGUCUCCACUUUACAACCAACAGAAAAGCACCUGUGCAAGUCCUCCUUAGCCAUGAGAGGAUGCUUGAACUUUGGAUGAUUCAGAGUCCCUGCCACCCUCAUCCUCAUCACUUUCAAUGCAGCCUUCAGGGCAGAUUGAAGAUGUGACAGAGAAACCUGAACUGGUGGCCAGUUCAGGGAAGGAAUUUGUCUUCUGAACUCCUGCUCUCAUUCUUAAAGGACACUCCCUUGAGCUUCUGCAUCUCCUUGAUAAAAACUCUGAAUAUAGUGUGGAAUAAAUGGAAAAAAUGUCUUACUAUCCCUGUUGCUCUAAGGAAAAAUUAAAUUCUGCAUUUCUGAAUUUGUCUUUUUAAUGCAUAUUUUUGGUUUCCUCUUACAACCUCUUCUCAAAAUGGUAUCAAAUAACUGCAAGAUGUU